UUUAUUUUUUUUAAAAUAAGAAAAUUUAGGUUUUAUUAAAAAAUUGAAAAAAUUUAUUUAAUAAUAGAAUAUUUGUAUUGAAAAAGAUUUUUUAAAAUUAAAUUAAAAAAGAAUUAAUUUUUUGUACCUUGUGUAUCAGGGUUUAUUAAAAUAGUUUUAAUAUUAAAGUUUCUCGAAGUUAAAAGAGCUAAAAAAAUAUAUUUUUUAUUGUAAAAUAACUAUUGAAAAUAUUUUUUUAGUAAUGAAAUGUUAUUCGUUUUUAAAUAUAUCUGGUUUUUUAAGAAAUAAAUUUAAUUUAUUUAUUAAUAAUAAAAAUUUAAUUAUUUAAUUUUUUAUUAUUAAUAUUAAAUAUUUUAAGGGAUGAGCUUUAAAAUUUAUUUUUAUUAGUUUUUAAAAAUAAUUAAAUUGUAAGAUUAGAAUUUUCUAUCAUUAAAAGGAUGUUAAAAUUAAUUUAUUAUAUUAUAUUAUUUUUAUUUAUUAUAAAUUUUCUAUUAAAAUUUAAAUUUUAAUUUAGUAGAUUUAGUAAUUAUGAUAAAAUUAGUAUAAUAUUUUUAUUUUAAGAAUAAUUUUUUGUUAAAGGUUUAGUAAAGGAAUUCGGCAAAUAAUUUUUUACCUGUUUAUUAAAAACAUGUCCUUUUGUGCAUAAUUUAAGGUUUAACCUGCCCACUGAAAUUUUUAAAUGGCCGUGGUAUUUUGACCGUGCUAAGGUAGCAUAAUCAUUAGUUUUUUAAUUGAAAACUGGAAUGAAAGGUUGGAUAAGAAAAUGACUGUCUCUAUUAAAUU
rnacentral:rRNA from 1 species